GUUCCUACCAUAACACUUAAGCAAGGAAUCCUGUACACUUCUCUCCUGGGGUUGUGACUUGUAUAUUGUCAAGGAUCACUUGGAUGUGGUAAAUGCUAUACUGGACACUGAUGAUAGCUGCAUAAGGAUUGUGCGAAAAAACGGGAAGACAUCCCUACAUACUGCUGCAAGGAUUGGAUACCAUCGUAUUGUCAAGGCACUCAUAGAGAGGGAUCCAGGAAUUGUUCCGAUCAAGGAUAGGAAGGGACAAACUGCACUUCACAUGGCUGUGAAAGGCAAGAACACAGAUGUAGUGGAAGAGUUACUGAUGGCUGAUGUUUCCAUUCUCAAUGUGCGGGACAAGAAGGGAAAUACUGCUUUGCACAUAGCUACAUGGAAAUGGGAGAAUUUUGGGAUUAUGAAACACCGCAGACGUGGCUUCGACGAAACGGAGGCGUAGGCGAGGGAUUCGACAUUAUGAAAAACCAGAGAAGAUACUACACUCUAAAAUGGACAUGAAUCCUCUAUUACCAGGGAAGGAUGAUGUUUAUUACACUGAAACAGACGCUGUCUCACAUCCGUUACCCGCACUAGACGCACCCAGUCUUUCUACAGAGAGAAUCGCGCCGUUCUUGAAUCUGCCAUUCGCUGAAUCUGCCAUUCGCUGCUGUUGUUUCUGGACAGUGAAGCAGUAUUCCGGACAGUGAACAAAAAUCUGGGAACACAUUUCAUUUUCACUGUCAUUGGCUACCAGAGUCCGGGAACAAAAUCUGGGAACAAAAUCUGGGAACACAAAAAUCUGGGAACAAAAUCUGCCUUUGGCUACCAGAGUUUAUUGCUCCCAUAUCAUUCGCUGUCCAUUUCACUGUCCAUUCGCUGAACACAAAAAGCUGGGAACAAACUCAUUUUCCCAGUGAACAGGUAGCACAAUUUAGUUCACAAAAUCUGGGAGCACAAUUUAGUUCACAAAAUCUGGGAGCAAUAAACAGGUUGAACAGGUAGAACAAAAUCUGGGAGCAAUAAACUGCCAUCCCAGAACAAAAUUCGCAGCUCACAUUUCAGUUCACAAGCUAGUUCACAAUUUAGUUCCCAGGUACCACAAUUUAGUUCACAAGCUAGUUCACAAGCUCACAUUUCAAUGGAGCAAUACACAGGUAGCAGUUUGACAAGCUAUUACACAAGCUCACAUUUCUGGGAGCAAUACACAGGUAGCAGUUUCACAAGCUAUCACACAAGCUCACAUUUCUGGGAGCAAAAAACAGGUGGCGUAGUAGCAGUCGUGUGUUCAUCUUCAUUUGCAGCAACGACAAGUUCACGGCUUGGUGCUUCAUCUUCAUUUCCAGCUACAACAACGACAAGCCACCUGCUUUGGCGCGGACUAGGGUUGUGGUCGCAGCGCCGCCGCCACCUGCUUUGGCGCGGGGCCGCGAGCAGCAAGGGAGAAGACGCGGAGUUUGGAGAGAAGGAGGUGCAGCGCCGCCGCCACCUGCUUUGGCGCGGGACCACGGGCAGCAGAUCUCCGGGCAGCAGGGGAGGAGACUAGCAGGGGAGGGAAAUGGAGAUUGAAGAAAAUGAGAUGGAAGGAAGAGGCUUGACGGGAGAGAGAAGAACCUUGAAGAGAGAAGAACGGCUCUGGACGGCAGAAGAAAACGGCGCGUGGGCUGAUAGCGACGGAAGAUCAUUAUUCGUUCUCCUGAACGACUAAUAACGAUGGGAUCUGGAAUAACAGGAGCCUGAUGGUUGCAUCAGUAGAGUUGACCACUUCUCAGUAUUGCGAGAUGCAUCUUACAUGGUCAAGAAGAUAAUUCCUAUUCUGAACUACUUGCUCGUGUUGAUCAGUUUUGCCUAGUCCCAGUACCAUACAAAGAUGUUCAGCUGGAUAUAAACAUUUCUCCACGUCUCUCUUCUGAAUACAUAAGUUAUCUGGAAAAUCCUGUUGAGUUGCUCAAUGAAGCGGCAAAAGCUGCAGAGAAAGAUCUAUGGAAAAUCCUGUUGAGUUGCUCAAUGAAGGCUUUUGCGAAUCACUUGAAGCGUUAGUACUUUUGUGAAUGAUUUUGUAAAGUGUUUGUAAAUAUGUGCAAAACAUAAUAACAUGUGUAGGUUUUGUGAAUGAUUUUGUUGUGGUGCUUGUUGAUGGUUUAUGUGAUGUGGAUCUAUCAUUGUGC